GGCGAGAUUGCCGAGUGGCCAAAGGCAACAGACUGUAAAUCUGUCGGGUUUACCCCUUCGAUGGUUCGAAUCCAUCUCUCGCCACCA
rnacentral:tRNA from 1 species